AGAGCGCCUGAAUGUGAAUACGCCUGCGCCAUAAAGAGAGGCCAGAACCCGAGGGCUACGGUUCCCAGAAGCCCGCGCGGCAUCACCGGCUUGCGCAAUCACGUUAGCGCGUUCCUUCAACAAACUUGUGGAGCCUACUGCUGUUAGACACCGAGACGCCGGAGAAGAAAAGACGGUUCUCGAGGCAUGUAUCAAAUGUGGACAUGGCGAGGCUGAGGACCAAGAUUGAUAAAAUGCGAUUUCUGUCCUCAAGGAGCUCCCUCAAGAUCGAGGGGAGAGUAGAAAAUAUCACGAGGAGCAGCUCUCCAAGAAUCUGAGGACCAAGACCACAUCCCGGACACCCCACUGCCAUCCAUGAUUCUUUCAAGGAAUCUGCUAGCAUUCCAGACCUCCCCACAAAGACAGCCCAGAGGUCUGCCCCAGGUACUUCCCCUUGGUCUGAGUCAGUCCUCCAGGGAUAAGGCAGCCUGGCCUCUGCCUCCUGGGGCCUGGUUCAGCGUCAGCAGCCAGAGACAGCCAGCCACGGGGAGCACACACACAAGGAACAGCCAAGCCUCUGCGACAGGCCGCAC